rnacentral:lncRNA from 1 species
ACCAGAGCUGGAGGCUUAUUCUCUAGCUUUCUCCAAUGCUGCUUUUUCGCCCUCUUUUUCUCCAGCUUCUAUGAUCUGAUUCUUGUUCAAUAAUGCUAUUUUUUGACCUUUAAAAUUGAAAUUAGAGAUAGAAUCAUCUUUCCGUUCUUUUGUUUUCUCGAGUACAGCUUCUGAGUGUUUUUGUUGGUCAGCUUGAUUAUGCACUUUACUGUGUAGAUAUUUUUUUCAAUAAUGUAGAAGUUGGUGCUUCAGAAAUUGCAUAUCUUCAUCCAUUUAUCAGUUUUUUAGGCUGCUAAUAUCCUAAUCAUUUAAAGAUUACCCUUUCAACAAAUAAUUAAGUAUAAAAUGCCAUCAAUCGAGGCUGCUAAUAUCCUAAUCAUUUAAAGAUUACCCUUUCAACAAAUAAUUAAGUAUAAAAUGCCAUCAAUUGGAGUCAAAAAAUGAAUAUUUGAAUUUAUUAAGAUCUCUAACCUUCAUUUCUUUUGAUGUUGCAAAUUUAUAUUCAAUCUCUAGGUCAUCUUUCGAAUCAAUUGACAAUGCAAAACAUAUUGUAUAAAAUGGACAAAUCUAAGGUAAUUGUGUUUUCUUAUAUUUAGGUAAGGUUUUUGUUAAGGUUUCGAAAAUAAUUUCAUUUUAACUUUGUUUUCACGUUGCAUUGUUAAAGUUAACUAUGCGAGCUUCCAAGAAGUUUAAACGACGGAGAGCUACAAUUGUUGUGGCAAUUUGAGAGACCAAUAAGAGACUACAGCUGUCAAGCGAACCAGAAAAUUCUAUAUCUACUCCAAUUAAUGAUAAGCAAAACACGCAGCCUACAAAUGCAAAUGUAGAAGCUCCGAAAAAGGAAAGGUGUCCAACUCAAGUGAAAAUGAUUCCUGGAAAUAGUUAUUAGAACAUGGAUCUCGAAUUCAAUGAGUAUGGGCAAGUAGUUGGCCGUAACUCAGAUAAAUUUGCUAAUGUAGUUAGAGCCAUGGUACGAGAACAUAUGCUUGCUGUAAUUAAAGAUUGACAUUCGGUUGAUGGGAAGUAAAAAAUGAAACUUUGGAAUUUCGUACAGGUAUAUCUCUUAUCUACCUUUUAAGAUUAUUACAUUAUAUUCUUUUCAGACUUUAAUUUAUUUUUGUAUACAAGUACAACAAAUGUUCAAUGUGAGUGAUUAUUAUCAAAAAAUAACAAUUCAAUGUAUGGGAAAGUAUUGAAGGACAUUUAAGUCAAGACUGAAAAAACAAAUCAAAACUCAAGUCGAAUCAUACGUGAAUAGAGCUUGCACUAUGGCCUUUCUUAGACCGAAGAAUGUUAAAUCUGAACAAGCAUGGGAAAAUUUUGUCAAGGAUAUGCUUUCUGCUGACUUUCGUGUAAGUAUAUUUACAUACGAGGCUUCAACUUUUUAUAAUUACUUUACAUUAUUAAUAUUUGGUAUUCGUAAUAGGAAAAAAGUUUCAAGUUUAGCAGCAUGAGAACAUCUCAGAAGCUUGUCCACAAUAUGGGUUGAAAGGGUUAUCCAUGCCCAUGAAAUGGUAGAAUUACAAACAUAUCUAAUCUUCUUAUUUGAAUUGUCACACUCUAAUUUAUGUAAUUACUAGAUUUUUAUUGCAGGGGAAAAAUAUUCUAGAUAUAAAAUGAUUGAGAACUAGAGUAUAGACUCAUGGAUAUCUUAGAAAAGAUGGAAAAUCGAUAAAUUACAGUUGCUGAAACUUUAGUAUGUGUAUUAUAUCAAUGUUCAACUAAGAUUAAUUUGAUUUACUAUAUGUACCACUUGUUAAUAUAAAAUUUGAGUUCCAUGACUAAAGAAAAUGAUUGAAGUGUGUGCCCAAUCAAUUUCUGAUACACCAGCAGAAUCCCCAUUCGAGAUGAUGCUGUUGCUCGAUUUUUAGGUCCUGGACGCCAUGGAAGAGUUAGAGGACUUGGAUUUAAAGAUCCAUCAUCAAAAGUGGAUAGAAAAAUUCAAAAUAAUAUAAGAGUUAGAGAACUUCAAAGUCAACCACAAACUCAUUAAGAAAGGGGGGCAUUAGAAGAAAAGUUUGAAGUACUUCUCAAACUAUCUCAACAGGUUAUAAUCUGACCAUUAUAUAUACUGUGGUAAUAGUGCUUAAUACAGUCAAUUACAUGUAAAUUUACUUUUAUAAUUUUUGUAUCAUCUUACAUGAAUAUAGAGGAUAGGAGUUCAUGUGCUUUUAUUCCCCAGGUUUUUGUAUCCUACAUUAUUAAAUGUUUGUUGAAUUUGUAGACGCACCAAGGAAGUGGUGUCCAAGGAGGUACUGCACACCUGAAAAAUGCAAGGUGUUAACUAUUGCAUUGGUACGUUUUUUAGGAGGAAGAAAUUAUAGCGGAAGGGAAGAUUGUAACAACAGACCUAAGUGCAAAUGUGCAUCACUUGCCACUCGAACGAGACUGUUGGAAGGUUUGGAUUAAAGAGGUGUAUAUGGGUGAUUUAACCUCUAUAAAGACCUACACAUGAACUUAGAACUCUUAGUGAUGCCAUGAGAAGUACUGUUGAUUGGCCAAAGAGCAGUAUUAAACUUAUUUGAUGAAAGUAUAUUUCGUAGACUAAUUACAUACAUGUAUGAAUCUAUUUUUAUUUUCAAAAUCAAUUGUAGUUCUAUUUACACAUGAGUUAUGAAUCAAACUUUGUUAUAAUUUCAUAGAGUUCUCAGUAGCAUGCAAUCAUUGAUAGUUUUUUAGGAUGUACUCUUUUGCUUGGUACUACUUUCUUUAUCAAAUGGAUUUCAAUGUUUCGCUCUAUUGAUAUGCUUGGGGAAACAGGACAUGAUUAUAUUUCAUUUUCCUUGUAGGUAAAAUCAAGCAGAGCUCCUACAUUUGUACAGGGUAGGGGCGAAUUCUGUUAAUAUAUUAAUAGUGC